rnacentral:rRNA from 1 species
UAGUCCACGCCGUAAACGAUGGUUACUAGCUGUUCGGUUUUCGGACUGAGUGGCUAAGCGAAAGUGAUAAGUAACCCACCUGGGGAGUACGUUCGCAAGAAUGAAACUCAAAGGAAUUGACGGGGGCCCGCACAAGCGGUGGAGCAUGUGGUUUAAUUCGACGAUACGCGAGGAACCUUACCAGGGCUUAAAUGUAGAUUGACAGGACUAGAGAUAGUUUUUUCUUCGGACAAUUUACAAGGUGCUGCAUGGUUGUCGUCAGCUCGUGCCGUGAGGUGUCAGGUUAAGUCCUAUAACGAGCGCAACCCCUGUUGUUAGUUGCCAGCGAGUAAUGUCGGGAACUCUAACAAGACUGCCGGUGCAAACCGCGAGGAAGGUGGGAUGACGUCAAAUCAUCACGGCCCUUACGUCCUGGGCCACACACGCGCUACAAUGGUAGGGACAAAGGGUAGCUACCUGGUGACAGGAUGCCAAUCCCAAAACCCUAUCUCAGUUCGGAUUGGAGUCUGCAACUCGACUCCA